ensembl:lncRNA
AUCACAAUCACUUAAGAACACUUAGAAAAAUGUAACGCUCCACAGACUUCUUGACCGAAAUAACAAAGUUAAUGUUGGUGGUCGCCACCUCUUAGUCGCUUGUGGCUAUUUGUAUAAAGUACAAGAAAGUACUCAAGCAAAGGAACUGAAUCUUAGUUGUGUCCCUGAAGCCGUCUCCCAUCCACAACCUCUCCAUCAAUUUCUCCAACUCUGUGGUGCUUGUGACUUGGAUGGCAAGAAAUCUUGGUUUUAUACUGGAUGACCAGGUUUUUAUACUGAUAUGCACUAAUCGCUAGUUAGCGAACAUGCUAACUAGCGUACUGGACAUAUCUCCAUGUCCCAACAACAAUGAUAUCCAUAUGUUCAAUGUUGUAGAGACUCCGGGUUUAAGAUAAGCUUUAAUCCCUUACCAAGUAGAGCAAUAGUUAAAAUGCUUAUUAGCCUCGAGAAUGGUGGAUCAAUGUGUCCUUUGCAAUGCGAGUUUUUUUACAAACCAGUGUCUUGUUUCAUUUAUUUUGGUAGAAAUGUUUCUUGUUCGGAGUCUUUUUAUAAUUACUAUUUUAUUCCUGUUAAUAUUUAAUUUACUCUUAUACAUUUGUUUAGUUUAGCUGCACAGUUAUAGAUAGCCUUUUUAUUUCGAUUGUUUAUUUCAUUCUUCCAUGCUGCUACUGCGUCAUUUUAAAGACGUGGCGUCUGCCUCUGCGCAGCGCUCUGCCUAGAAUUACACCUGCCCUGUUUUUUGCCUGUUGGUGAUCAGCUUUUCACUUGCCGACUGCCAUGAGGGGGGCAUCUGGUGACUGGUCUGCACUGCUGGUGUUACUGGCUGUUCUCCUAACUCCCUUGCUGCCACUGGCUGGACUCCUCUAGUCGGUCGACUACCUGCCGUUGCCAAGCCUAUCUGAGUGCGCAUCUGGUGUUGAAAGACCCACACUCGGCCUGUGGUCGAGUGGGUGAUGAGAAGCGUGUUUGGUGAUUAGCUCACAAAUGUGGGGUUUUCGCUACACUACUGCUGAACUCCAGAAACCUUUCUCCACCUAUGCCAUUCUCAGCAACGAGGCUCUCCAUCACUGCCUGCCAGCGGGAAUCCUGCGCCAGAGAUGUGUGCACUGCUCCUCUGGCCGUUUCCGAGGUGGGCUCACCAGGUCAAUUACAUGGCCUGCCUCCCAUGGUGCCAAUACAUUGCAACCAACAAAACAUCGAAGCCCUGCCUUCCACCAUGGAGACAUCUUGGACGAGAUAGGUCAAGAUGCGGAUUGUGCCACCGCAGCCUGGUCCACAAAGCUUGAUGCUGAACCAUCGCAUCUGAGAGCACAGCCCAUCGACUCUCUGCGACCACAACCCAGCGAGAGAGAGGUUAGCAUGGGCUGGGUCAGCAGAGCGCCUCUUCAGGAAAUGGCUCUCCUUUGGGUAUGAGCCAUGGACAACGGCCCUCCAUGUCGGCGCUGCCUGCCACUAUUCCGCACCAACUUCAGCCGGUGAUGUGCGACCCCCCCAGUGCUG